rnacentral:lncRNA from 1 species
GAAGAGGUAACAAUGUUGUUAGGAUCUUUCUCUAGUUGCUCUUCCAGGCUCAAUUAACCUUUAAAACAUCGAAUCAACACCAAAACCGAAGGCACCCGCCGCCGCCGCCGAGUUCUACCUAUGGUUGCUUUUCUUCCUUUUGCUUGUUGUUUGCUCACUUGCAAAGGAUGAAUACCACACAGGUAAGGGUCACAAAGACACAAGCAAGAGUAGAGAAGAUCAAUCAGUAGGAUGCACGAAGAAGAAGAAGAAGACUGCCUCUCUCUCUCUCUCUCUUGGGUUUUUCACACAAAAACGGGACAUGAGAAUUACCAAUAUAUAUAGUAAACCCAUGACAAACUAAGGUAAGUUAUACAUAUGGUAAGUAGGCUCGACUAGGGUUAUGGCCCAAUAGCACACCAACAAGCCACAAAGGUUUAUUAGCCAUCCAAUAGGUAAAACAACGUUAAGUCGGGUCAUCCCAUUAUUCAGUGUUGAUUUAUGGUUCAGUCAUUCAUGUCGACUGAUAAAACUGAUUUAUAUUAUCGCUUGGGAGGUCGUUUGACAACAUGAUGUCUAACAAAUGUAAACCAUAUUUACUGUUGUCAUUUACAAAUGAAACUUGAUUUGUCAUCUUCUAGAAUUUGC